UGGGGAAUUUUGGACAAUGGGCGAAAGCCUGUUCCAGCAAUGCCGCGUGCAGGAUGAGGGCCUUCGUGUUGUAAACUGCUUUUGUACGGAACGAAAAAGCUUCUCCUAAUACGAGAGGCCCAUGACGGUACCGUAAGAAUAAGCACCGGCUAACUACGUGCCAGCAGCCGCGGUAAUACGUAGGGUUCGAGCGUUAAUCGGAAUUACUGUGCGUAAAGCGUGCGCAGGCGGUGAUGUAAGACAGAUGUGAAAUCCCCGGGCUCAACCUGAGAACUGCAUUUAUGACUGCAUGGCUAGAGUACGGUAGAGGGGGAUAGAAUUCCGCGUGUAGCAGUGAAAUGCGUAGAUAUGCAGAGAAACACCGAUGGAGAAGGCAAUCCCCAGGACCUGUACUGACGAUCAUGCACGAAAGCGUGGGGAGCAAGCA
rnacentral:rRNA from 1 species